rnacentral:rRNA from 1 species
GACGAACGCUGGCGGCGUGCUUAACACAUGCAAGUCGAACGGUGAAGCGCCUUCCUUUUUGGUGGGUGUGGAUGAGUGGCGAACGGGUGAGUAACACGUGAGUAACCUGCCCCCUUCUUCUGGAUAACCGCAUGAAAGUGUGGCUAAUACGGGAUAUUCUGGGUCUGUCGCAUGAUGGGUCUGGGAAAGAUAUUGUUUCGGUGGGGGAUGGGCUCGCGGCCUAUCAGCUUGUUGGUGGGGUGAUGGCCUACCAAGGCGGUGACGGGUAGCCGGCCUGAGAGGGUGGACGGUCACACUGGGAAUGAGACACGGCUCAGACUCCUACGGGAGGCAGCAGUGGGGAAUAUUGGACAGUGGGCGCAAGCCUGAUGCAGCGACGCCGCGUGAGGGAUGGAGGCCUUCGGGUUGUGAACCUCUUUCGCCAGUGAAGCAGGCCUGCCUGGUUUGUGGGUGGGUUGACGGUAGCUGGAUAAGAAGCGCCGGCUAACUACGUG